CCGAGUUAGGGUCUCCCUCGCGGGGCCCGACCUCCCAACCCUGUGUCUAAUAAACCUGUACGUGUUGCUUCGGCGGACCGGUAGUCCCCCUUCCGGGGAGGACCGCCGCCGGGGGAUCAACGGUGUCACAGCCGCCCCUGGAGAGCCGUCCGCCGAUGGCCCAACCCCCCAAAACUCUUAUACCUGAACAUAUGUACCCUUCUGAAUCGAACCUUUUGAUAUACCAAUCAAAAACA
rnacentral:misc_RNA from 1 species